CAAAAACAAAAGAAAAAGAGAAAAGCAAAUUAGGCAUUAUACGUAAGGAUUUUGUCCGAACUUAUUGUAAUUAUUAAUUUGAUCCGAGAGACAUCGGAUCAAUUUUUUAAUUAUAUUAAGUUUCAGGCUUUUUGAUGGUAUUUUGGUUGUUAAAUCAAUGUAAUUAUUAAUUUGAUCCGUAAGACUUCGGAUUAGAUUUUUAAUUA